UACGAAGGGGGCUAGCGUUGCUCGGAAUUACUGGGCGUAAAGCGCACGUAGGCGGGUCUUUAAGUCGGGGGUGAAAUCCUGGAGCUCAACUCCAGAACUGCCUUCGAUACUGAGGAUCUCGAGUCCGGGAGAGGUGAGUGGAACUCCGAGUGUAGAGGUGAAAUUCGUAGAUAUUCGGAAGAACACCAGUGGCGAAGGCGGCUCACUGGCCCGGUACUGACGCUGAGGUGCGAAAGCGUGGGGAGCAAACAGG
rnacentral:rRNA from 1 species